UGGGGAAUAUUGCACAAUGGGGGAAACCCUGAUGCAGCGACGCCGCGUGAACGAAGAAGGUAUUCGUAUCGUAAAGUUCUGUCCUAUGGGAAGAUAAUGACAGUACCAUAGAAGAAAGCUCCGGCUAAAUACGUGCCAGCAGCCGCGGUAAUACGUAUGGAGCGAGCGUUGUCCGGAAUUAUUGGGCGUAAAGGGUACGCAGGCGGUUUAAUAAGUCGAAUGUUAAAGAUCGGGGCUCAACCCCGUAAAGCAUCGGAAACUGAUAAACUUGAGUAGUGGAGAGGAAAGUGGAAUUCCUAGUGUAGUGGUGAAAUACGUAGAUAUUAGGAGGAAUACCAGCAGCGAAGGCGACUUUCUGGACACAAACUGACGCUGAGGUACGAAAGCGUGGGGAGCAAACAGG
rnacentral:rRNA from 1 species